ACUACGGGUGGCUGCAGUGAGGAAUAUUGGUCAAUGGACGAGAGUCUGAACCAGCCAAGUAGCGUGAAGGAUGACUGCCCUAUGGGUUGUAAACUUCUUUUAUAUGGGAAUAAAAUGUUCCCCGUGUGGGAUUUUGUAUGUACCAUAUGAAUAAGGAUUGGCUAACUCCGUGCCAGCAGCCGCGGUAAUACGGAGGAUUCGAGCGUUAUCCGGAUUUAUUGGGUUUAAAGGGAGCGUAGGUGGAUUGUUAAGUCAGUUGUGAAAGUUUGCGGCUAAACCGUAAAAUUGCAGUUGAAACUGGCAGUCUUGAGUACAGUAGAGGUGGGCGGAAUUCGUGGUGUAGAGGUGAAAUGCUUAGAUAUCACGAAGAACUCUGAUUGCGAAGGCAGUUCACUGGACUGCAACUGACACUGAGGCUCGAAAGUGUGGGUAUCAAACAGGAGUAGAUACCCUAGUAGUC
rnacentral:rRNA from 1 species